CCCUCCCGAAACGCUGCUUGCUUCUCACGAGCAUCAAAGAGUUUUAUUUAAAAGCACUUAAAUGUGCUGAGCACAGUUUGAUUUUGUAUUACCAGAAUUUCCAAGCAGUUGAGGGUGUGAUUUUCACAUUGCAAGGGAGGAAUGUUGCAUCUCAGCUCCAAGUGAGUUUUCAGAGCCAGGUUACAAAAUAGAGGUGAUGAAAUAUGCAGCAGAAGCCUGGCAAGGCUGCAUGUGUUGAGGGAGGCAAUCCUUGCAAUGACUGAAAACACAUCUCUGAGGGUACUGCUGGGCACUGCUGCAAAUCCCGUUCAAAUGGACUCACUCUGGAUGUCACUGCAAAUUUCACUUCUGUUGGAAUGGUUUUGUCCAAAGGCAAGAAUGCAUCUGGAGGGGACUUGUAGAAGGAGAUCCUGUGCUCUGCUGGCCCAUUUCUCUUGGCUAACCUCUGUGAAACCUCUGCAGUUCCUCCUGCCCACAUGCACUGCUAAGAAAAGAGAAGCCUCCGCUCGGGAGGAUUUAGCAUUCUGAUUUUCCUGGAAAGAAGAUUCCCAGCACAUAAGAGAGUUUACAGAGCCUGCUCUGAUGCAUCUUCGAAAAAAUUCCAUGCAGGCUGGGUGAGGUAUUUUGAACAGAGAAUGAUGCUGAGAAGUUGCACUGUCAGCACCUUGGACCUGAGCAUCCCAGAGGCUCCACAGUAGAGAGAUCUGUGCCAGCUCUGCAUGAACCUGUCCCAUACUUAACAGCAGGAGCAGCCAUUCCCAUUGCUCUGGGUAACAUACGUUCCCUCUCAUGCUGCUGGUAGCACUCAGGUUGCCUGGAACUGGGGAACAAUUAACAGCUACCAUUAAGGACAAGAUCUGCAUUGCAUUAUUGGACUAAUAUUGCUGAGAAUAAUGUGACCAGAAUAGCUAUUCGUGCCUCAAGGCCAGAAAUGAUCUAUGCCAAGCCCACCUCCAUCCCUCCCCCUGUAUUGCCUCAUCUGUGCUGACAUUUCCUUGUGAAUAUUUAAGGUAAUGUCUGUUCUCAUCUCUUGUUGAAAGUCAAAUGCAUGCACACUACAGAGAACAACAGGCAGUUGCUAUUCAACACAUACAAAGUUGACGUGCGGUGCAUCGAUACAGCAAUUGUAUUUGCAAAAAUUUAAUUCUUGGGGACUGCUUUGGGGUGUGGAUGGUAUGACUCUCACUAAUAAUCCUUUAAAACAUUGCCGGGAAAGUGAAUUCAAACAUUAGAACCUGAUUAAAGCUUUUCCUUAUUUAAGUAAGUAACGUUUGACACCUGGAGGUGUCCAAAGCCAUGGAUGGGGCUCUGGGCAGCCUGACCUGUUGGGGGGCACUCAGCCCACGGCGGGGGUUGGAGCUCAAUGAUCUCUAAGGUCCUUUCCAAUCUCAAUCACUCUGUGAUUCUGUCGGUACACUCAGAAUACUCCAGGUUUAUCCACCUGAAUGACAGCAACAGAGCAGGAAAUUGAGGGGAGCAUCACAUGGAAAAUAAUUGCAGGCUAAAUGUUGUUUUCAUUACAGCCAUAUUAGCAUGAUUAGAGAAGGUGGUCAUGGUGCAAGAGGAAUUUUCUGUCCUCAGUGCUCUGGUAAUGGAGAAAUUAAUCCAAAAACAAAACCACUCUUCCUCUCCUGCUUCUCAAAAUCACACGUGCAUCUUGUGUUCUCCUUACCUGAUGCAUAGUGCAAGCUCUCAGCUUGCUGCCAUGCUUCGGAUGAGUUUAAAACACAAUAGCUGUGGAUAGGUAACAUCCAAGGACAUAUUUUCUGUGCACAGUUUUCCCAGCACAGGAACUGCCUUCUUCAUUGUGCACUGCUUAAAUACAAACAUCUGCAUUUGUGCAAGGAGGAAAGGAUCUGGAGCAUCACCCUACAACAACAGCACCUUCACCACUUAAAUCCACAGCACGUGGCAUUCUUCACAUUUUCUGACAGCUCAAAAAGUUUGUGACCGAGAGGGACAAACAACAAAAAGUGUAAUGAAAGACAUAUUUAGUCAUCCUCAGCCCGUAUUUAGGCACCUACAUACAUUGCCCACUUUCCAGCUGGGACAGACAGGAUUUCAGUGGCAGGGAGCUGAGAUCAGGCUUAGCAAGAUGCCCACACACUUCAACAUCCCACACACUUAAUAUACACAAUUGUAACAACAUAGCAACUGGUCUGUAAUUAGUACAGACAUUGCCAGAGCUGCCUUUGUAUUACUUAUGAGUCAUGCUACAAAAAUACUCUUUAUUCAUUAUCCAAGCCCUUUUCAUUUCAGUGCCAGCCAUUACCCUGUUGCUGGGUACGUAGGGCUCUGUCAGGCUUGUCAAAGCCAAGUGCCUUCUGAUAGGGAUCUUUGCAUUUAACCUGACAAAGAUUUACUUUACAAAAGGGUGAGAUCAAAAGGUUUCUUUCUGCACAGAAGAAGAAAGAAACACUUAAACAUGGCUCAAAGUGAGGGGUUUGCUCCUUGUUGCUUCUCCAGGCGCCCAUUUAUGGCUGGAAGAACAUCUUUCAGACUUGGCUUAAAUUGUUCUGUCAGUUAAUUAAAUAUUUGUAUCUUAAUGUCUUCCUGGUUAACUAGUGAGGAGAAAAGGCUCAGACCGAACAGGAAACUUUCCUUCAUCUUUAAUAUAAUAUAUGGAACAGAAGAAGGAAAACGCAACUGAAAUGUAUUAUGACAAGCAAAUAAAAAGUAAUAUCGGAAAAUUCCUUCAGGCAGAUUCUGUUCUAGACCACUACUAUUUACUAAGAUUUUUUUAUUCACUGCGAAAUUAAAUCACUGGGCUGGAAAGUCCUUGGGUCAUUUCAAACCACUGUCUCAUUGAUUUCUUAUUCCUAAAGCAUCCUUAACAUAGCACUGUCAUCGGCGCUGACGACAGCGAUCCCCAGAUCUCCCUUGGCAGUGGACUAAUUGUCUAAGUGCUCUUGCUGUUGGAGAGGAGCACUGACAGAUUAACUCAGACCCUGUAAACAAAAAGGUAGGUUAAAAAAAGUCUGACAUAAUCAGAAAAGUUCCCACAAAACACAGUACGAAGCUGUUUCACAGUGCAAUACAUCGUGAAAUUUCUUUCUUUUUUUCUUUUUUUUCUUGAAUGUUACUAUUCUUUCCAGACAUAGCUGUAUACUUUAAAGACUUUGUUUUACCACUCUCUCUUCCUGAUCUGCACCAGAAUUGAAGCAUUUUUUCUGAGCUAUACAAGCCCCAGAAAAGGGAAAAAGCCAUUCCUGGCACACUCUGGUGCAGUGCUGGGUCACCAUAACAAGAUUUAUAAUGAUUCUGGUUCCUGAGAAAGGCUUGAAAUACAGAGAGGAAAUCAAACUGUGGUCAAGAAAAAUCUUAGAAAUAUUUUAUUCAGCAAUCUAAUUGUUUCCCAGCUAGAAAGGAUAUAGCACAAAUGCAGUACAGUAUGAUCUCCCAAAGAGAAAAAGAAAAUUUCCAAAGCACUACUCUAGAAAUAAAAUUAAAUUUCUCUUUUUAAGAUGAAUCUAAAUCUACAUUUUCUCAUGGCGACUCUCCUCUUCCUUUCAAUAAAAUCACUGGCUGCAUCUGUGGCAGAAAGCACAAAAGCUCAGCACUGAGUUGUACCUACUGCCUUUCAGGAUAAAUCAAACCAACUCAGCGCCGUCGCUUCCUGUAAGCAUUACAGCCCCAGAGAAAUGCACCCUCAUCGUUAUGAGGGAUGACACCCUCUGACUCUCCCACACCAAACUCCAGCAGCGGUGCUUUGCCAAAGAGACAAAAAGAUCAAGUGCUGAGCUGCACAGAAAGGGAUGGAUGUGGAUGACUCACCCCGAAAUGGAAGACUCCCAUCAAACCAUGACACAGUGCAGGAUGGACUGAGCAAGUCGUAGGUUGUGUUUGUCAUAGAAUCAUUAAGGCUGGAAAAGACCUCUGAGAUCCCCGAGCCCAA